ACUGACCCUAGAGACAUUACAGGUGUGGCUGCUGUGUCACAUGUGUCAAUAAGUGGCAGAGAGAAGAGAGAGCGUGUCUAUUCUCAGUGUUCCGAGCUAUGAAUAUCUGAAGGAUUAGUAGCCUAACACU